UACGGAGGGUGCGAGCGUUGUCCGGAAUCACUGGGCGUAAAGGGCGCGUAGGUGGCGCGGGAAGUCAACGGUGAAAGUUCGGGGCUCAACCCUGAAUCGGCCGUCGAUACUCCCGGGCUCGAGCACUGUAGAGGCAGAUGGAAUUCCGGGUGUAGCGGUGGAAUGCGUAGAGAUCCGGAAGAACACCGGUGGCGAAAGCGGCUCACUGGACCAUUACUGACGCUGAGGCACGAAAGCUAGGGGAGCAAACAGG
rnacentral:rRNA from 1 species